AACACCACUAGUCACAGAGAUUGUAUCUCCUCCUAUAGGGUAUCCAACAACAGUUACAGCAUCUUGCAGUGCAGGCAGAUCCCCAAACUCAAGAGGUGACACUCCUUCCCAGAACUCAUCAUCAUUCACAGUUAACAUUGCAAUAUCGCAUUCCGUUCCAAUGGAAAGUACGGUAGCCAAGUAUUUGGUAUCAGAACCACGUUUCUUGAGCUUAACCUGAGUAUGGUGCUCCACGGAGUGGGCAUUCGUGAGCACCCUCCUUCCACCAAUGAUAAACCCACUACUACUGGAGCUAUAUUGUCUCUUCCUCUGCCAAGGAAGCGAGAAAUUAGGCUCUGUAUGGACGCAGAACACCUUGACCACUGCAUCCAUAGACGGAGCCGCCUUGGCUGCUGCUGCUACCGCAGCCAAAUCCGCCCCAUGCCUCAAGUCGCCACUCAAUACAGUGGUAAUAUCGCCGUUGUGUUCAGCGAACCUAUGACCUCGUCUCUCUGGAGAGGCCGCAAUAUCCCUGUCUACUUCUUCAUCAUGUUUUCCACCUUUCUUAGGGCGUCCACGGCCGCGUCGAUGAGUUGGUGGGUCACCGUUGGUGAUGGUAGUUUCGACAGGGGUUGCAGAUAGUACGCCGUCAUCGAGGGCUUCUUUGGAAGAAAUACCAGGGGCGUCGGUGGAGUUGUCCACCACAUUUUUAGGUUUCCGGCCUCUUUUUCUCUUGAGGU
rnacentral:misc_RNA from 1 species